GGAUAUAAUUAAAAAAAAAUAGUAUAGUUGGAGAUGCAGCAGUUGGUUGGAUAUAAAAAAAGAUGAUGUGUUAGAACUAAAACCGAGAAGAUCUAGUUCGUCGGAUGCGAAAAUACCAAAAGAGAUCUGAGAAAGAGAGAAGAAAAAUAAAGCACACAAUAUUUACGUGGUUCGGCCAACGGCCUACAUCCACGGACGAAGACGGAGCGAAAAUCUUCAUUAGAAUCAAAGUGGUGUACAAAAUAUGCCUCUCUCACAAAACCCUAAUCCCAAAAAAUACACUCAUAUUCCCUCUCUUAUCUUCCGCACUAAAUCAAUAGCAAAAAGGGUAUAUUUAUAAUAGUGACUAAAUCCUAAUACGAUUAGAAAUACAAACCCACUAAGAUUAGGAAUAUCUCGAUAAAUUAGGCAUAAUCUAAACUUAACUUAAUGGGAUAAUUAAAACAGAAUAGGGUUAGAAGACCUUGCGGUACUAGAAUUCGAGACAUAUUUAACAAUCUCCACCUUGACUUGAAUUCUAUGUCUUCUCCAUCAAAAUCCCAAGAGCUCCUGAAGUGCUACUGCACAUGCGAACAAGUUUACGGAAUACUUGACCUUGAUCGCCUAAAAACUUAAUGAGCAAAUCCGCGGGAUUCUCUGAAGUGCCAAUCUUCUCAUCUCCAACUACGCCUUUUGCAACCUCUGUUGCAUCAGAACGACAACUUGUCGUAGAGCGAAACUGCUGGAGCGAUCAAACUUCUCGAUCUCAAAUUCGUCGACGUCUUAAACACCCAAACAAACACUCAGGCUCUAACACCAGUUUGUUAGGACAAAACUGAAAAGAUCUAGUUCGUCGGGUGCGAAAAUACCAAAAGAGAUCUGAGAAAAAGAGAAUAAAAAUAAAGCACACGAUAUUUACGUGCAUGGUUUGGCCGCCGACCUACGUCCAGGGGGGAAGACGGAGCGGAGAUCUUCAUUAUAAUCAAAGUGGUGUACAAAAUAUGCCUCUCUCACAAAACCCUAAUCCCAAAAAAUUCACCCAUAUUCCCUCUCUCAUCUUCCGCACUAAAUCAAUAGCAGAAAUAGUAUAUUUAUAAUAGUGGCUAAAUCUUAAUACGAUUAGGAAUACAAACCCACUAAGAUUAGGAAUAUCUCGAUAAAUUAGGCAUAAUCUAAACUUAACUUAAUGGGAUAAUUAAAACAGAAUAGGGUUAGAAGACAUUGCGGUACUAGAAUUCGAGACAUAUUUAACAAUCUCCACCUUGACUUGAAUUCUAUGUCUUCUCCAUCAAAAUCCCAAGAGCUCCUGAAGUGCUACUGCACAUGCGAACAAGUUUACGGAAUACUUGACCUUGAUCGCCUAAAAACUUAAUGAGCAAAUCCGCGGGAUUCUCUAAAGUGCCAAUCUUCUCAUCUCCAACUACGCCUUUUGCAACCUCUGUUGCAUCAGAACGACAACUUGUCGUAGAGCGAAACUGCUGGAGCGAUCAAACUUCUCGAUCUCAAAUUCGUCGACGUCUUAAACACCCAAACGAACACUCCGGCUCUGAUACCAGUUUGUUAGAACUAAAACCGAGAAGAUCUAGUUCGUCGGAUGCGAAAAUACCAAAAGAGAUCCGAGAAAGAGAGAAGAAAAAUAAAGCACACAAUAUUUACGUGGUUCGGCCAACGGCCUACGUCCACGGGCGAAGACGGAGCGGAGAUCUUCAUUAUAAUCAAAGUGGUGUACAAAAUAUGCCUCUCUCACAAAACCCUAAUCCCAAAAAAUACACCCAUAUUCCCUCUCUCAUCUUCCGCACUAAAUCAAUAGCAGAAAUGGUAUAUUUAUAAUAGUGGCUAAAUCUUAAUACGAUUAGGAAUACAAACCCACUAAGAUUAGGAAUAUCUCGAUAAAUUAGGCAUAAUCUAAACUUAACUUAAUGGGAUAAUUAAAACAGAAUAGGGUUAGAAGACCUUGCGGUACUAGAAUUCGAGACAUAUUUAACAAUCUCCACCUUGACUUGAAUUCUAUGUCUUCUCCAUCAAAAUCCCAAGAGCUCCUGAAGUGCUACUGCACAUGCGAACAAGUUUACGGAAUACUUGACCUUGAUCGCCUAAAAACUUAAUGAGCAAAUCCGCGGGAUUCUCUGAAGUGCCAAUCUUCUCAUCUCCAACUACGCCUUUUGCAACCUCUGUUGCAUCAGAACGACAACUUGUCGUAGAGCGAAACUGCUGGAGCGAUCAAACUUCUCGAUCUCAAAUUCGUCGACGUCUUAAACACCCAAACGAACAUUCCAGCACUGAUACCAUUUUGUUAGAACUAAAACCGAGAAGAUUUAAUUUGUCGGAUGCGAAAAUACCAAAAGAAAUCCGAAAAAGAGAGAAGAAAAAUAAAGCACACAAUAUUUACGUGGUUCGGCCAACGGCCUACGUCCACGGGCGAAGACGGAGCGGAAAUCUUGAUUAGAAUCAAAGUGGUGUACAAAAUAUGCCUCUCUCACAAAACCCUAAUCCCAAAAAAUACACACAUAUUUCCUCUCUCAUCUUCCGCACUAAAUCAAUAGCAGAAAUGGUAUAUUUAUAAUAGUGGCUAAAUCUUAAUACGAUUAGGAAUACAAACCCACUAAGAUUAGGAAUAUCUCGAUAAAUUAGGCAUAAUUUAAACUUAACUUAAUGGGAUAAUUGAAACAGAAUAGGGUUAGAAGAUCUUGCUGUACUAGAAUUCGAGACAUAUUUAACAUGAUGCAACUAUAAAUAAUUUGUUUGAUUGCAUAUAAUUGAAAAGUACAUUCACACAUUUUAUUACUAUAUACAUAUUUUAUAUUAUAAAAUAUGAUUAAGGAGAUAAAAGCUUAUCUUUAAUUUAUAAUAACUACUUUCUCCAACUGCUGCAACUGUUACAACAAUUAUAUUUAAAACAUCAAGUCAAUCGCUAAAUUUAAAUCUGUAUGCAAUUACAAAUACAAUAUAGUUGCAGCUACAAGCUAUCUA
rnacentral:lncRNA from 1 species